CGAGCACGCGCGUGUGGCAUAUCAAUAAGCGGAGGAAAAGAAACUAACAAGGAUUCCCUUAGUAACGGCGAGUGAAGCGGGAAGAGCUCAAAUUUGAAAUCUUAAAGGUUUCCCUUGACGAAUUGUAGUUUAUAGAAGUGUUUUCUGUUAGUAGAGUGGCAAAAGUUCUUUGGAAUAGGACAUCAUAGAGGGUGAGAAUCCCGUAUUUGGUCAUUCCUCCUAGCUUUGUGAUACACUUUCAACGAGUCGGAUUGUUUGGGAAUGCAGUCCAAAAUGGGUGGUAAAUUUCAUCUAAAGCUAAAUAUUGGCGAGAGACCGAUAGCGAACAAGUACCGUGAGGGAAAGAUGAAAAGAACUUUGAAAAGAGAGUUAAACAGUACGUGAAAUUGUCAAAAGGGAAGCGUUUGACACCAGUGUUGUUUUUCCGAAAAUCAAUUACGAAUGUUUUAGUUUUUGAGGAGUUAUGACUUCAUCGGCUUGCUCCUUUCUUUAUGAAACUUUCUUAAUGCACUUUUCGGUUAACAAGUCAACAUCAAUUUCUUUUGUUGUAAAAGGGUAUGAGGAAGGUGGCUUUCUUUUCGGAGAAAGUGUUUAUAGCCUUGUGCCUCUGCAAUCGGAGAGAUUGAGGUCUGCAGCGUAGAUCCUUCGGGGUUAGAUACGUUUGUGCUAAGUUAUAGCUUUUCAUAGACAACUUGUUGACUAUGCUCAGUCAUGUAGCUUACUCGCUUAUGCUAUUUUACCUACGCUUAGGAUGUUGAUGUGAUACUGCGAGCA
rnacentral:rRNA from 1 species